UUUAAUAUGGCAGAUUAGUGCUUUGAACUUAAAUUUCAACUAUAAAGAUUCUUAAAACCUUUUAUUAAAA
rnacentral:tRNA from 1 species